rnacentral:lncRNA from 1 species
GAAGUGCAACAUGAGUAUGCGUAGAGCAGUAAGUGGCUGUGUGCUGGUGGUCUGUUUGGUAGCCAUGAUGGUGGAGAGCACAGAGGGACACAUCACCUUCUUCAGCCCCAGAGAGAUGAUGCUGAUGAAGGAGAGAGACGGUAAGAAGGUUAUGGAGCCCAGAUCAGAAGAUGGUCAGUUCCAAGAAGCUUCCCUCCCAGAGCUUUCGGAGACUGAAAGUGGAGGAAAUCCUGACAGGACAAUUGAGAUUGCUGUGCGCCUUUCAGCCCAACAGUUAUACCAUGUGACUCCCGUGCUGGAGGAGAUCAUCCGUGAAAUAGCAGAGGAACGAGAGAAGGUUAAUAAGUGA